rnacentral:rRNA from 1 species
GAUGAGCGCUGGCGGCGUGCCUAAUACAUGCAAGUCGAACGCACAGCGAAAGGUGCUUGCACCUUUCAAGUGAGUGGCGAACGGGUGAGUAACACGUGGACAACCUGCCUCAAGGCUGGGGAUAACAUUUGGAAACAGAUGCUAAUACCGAAUAAAACUCAGUGUCGCAUGACACAAAGUUAAAAGGCGCUUUGGCGUCACCUAGAGAUGGAUCCGCGGCGCAUUAGUUAGUUGGGGGGGUAAAGGCCUACCAAGACAAUGAUGCAUAGACGAGUUGAGAGACUGAUCGGCCACAUUGGGACUGAGACACGGCCCAAACUCCUACGGGAGGCUGCAGUAGGGAAUCUUCCACAAUGGGCGAAAGCCUGAUGGAGCAACGCCGCGUGUGUGAUGAAGGCUUUCGGGUCGUAAAGCACUGUUGUAUGGGAAGAACAGCUAGAAUAGGGAAUGAUUUUAGUUUGACGGUACCAUACCAGAAAGGGACGGCUAAAUACGUGCCAGCCGCCGCCGUAA